UCCUGUAGUGGUGAGCCCUCUCCUCUACCUUUCACUCUUCCCAUUUCCUAGAAGGUGAACAGGGUCCCCUCUUGGGACAUGUGAACGAGGGCAACAGCCCGGGAAUUAUAGAGCAACAGGACGGAAGGAACCUGCCACUGGAUGGUUUAUGUGUGGGAAAACGGAGGCUCAGGUAGACGAUGGCUGACGCAAGCUGAGGACAGCAGGAGUGGGAAUAAAGGGACCCCAAGCCCCUUGCGUGGAGGAAGGAACUGGCAGGCAGGAGUCGUCCCUCUCAGGUAGCAGGCCGCCCCGGAACCGACAUGGAGAGAGCGCAGCCGAGCCUGGUGCCCUGGGUGGAAGGAGGCACCCUGACCCAGAAGGAAAGCGGCCGGCGAUGUAACCCGCAGGAGCAGCGUGACGCGAGGGAAGUCCCAUCUCCAGAGGCACCCAGGGCCUUUGAGAGGAAUAGGAUCAGGAUCAGGAACACAAAGGGAGGAAUUGACGUUCAGCUUUUGACUGAAGAGGAACCUGCGUCCUUGGACAGACAGUCGUCUUGAAAGCCAGGCUUUGUUGAGAGGUGGGGCGGCUUUCUGAGUCCCAACGUCAUCUUUGCACAUCAAGAGCCCAGCCCGCUGCCUCCGAGAUCACAGAGGAGUGCGGAGAGGACGGAGGGGAUGGAGAGAGGGGGAGCCCGCCAGGCAAGGAGGGGAAGCGGGGUCUGCCCUCACAGG